rnacentral:misc_RNA from 1 species
AACUUUUGGCAACGGAUCUCUUGGCUCUCGCAUCGAUGAAGAACGCAGCGUAAUGCGAUACGUAAUGUGAAUUGCAGAAUUCAGUGAAUCAUCGAAUCUUUGAACGCAUAUUGCGCUCUUUGGUAUUCCGAAGAGCAUGCUUGUUUGAGUAUCAGUAAACACCUCAACCUCCUCUUGUUUUUUCAAAAGGAGGGUGGACUUGAGCUAUCCCAACAACCUUCACCGGUAGGCGGGCGGCUUGAAAUGCAGGUGCAGCUGGACUUUUAUCUGAGCUAAAAGCAUAUCUAUUUAGUCCUCGUCAAACAGGAUUAUUACUAUUGCUGCAGCUAACAUAAAGGAUAAUUGUCCUCAUUGCUGACUGAUGCAGGAUUUUACGACACUUUAUGUGUUGUUCAACUCGAUCUCAAAUCAAGUAAGACUACCCGCUGAACUUAAGCAUAUCAAUAAGCGGAGGCU